rnacentral:rRNA from 1 species
UUAGGAAUCUUCCACAAUGGGCGAAAGCCUGAUGGAGCGACGCCGCGUGAGGGAUGAAGGCCUUAGGGUUGUAAACCUCUAAAAGAGGGACGAUAAUGACGGUACCUCUUGAAUAGCACCGGCUAACUCCGUGCCAGCAGCCGCGGUAAUACGGAGGGUGCAAGCGUUAUCCGGAAUCACUGGGCGUAAAGGGCGCGUAGGCGGUCUGUUAAGUCCGAUGUUAAAUCCCGGGGCUCAACCCCGGAUAAGCGUUGGAUACUGGCAGGCUAGACGGUUGGAGAGGCGAGUGGAAUUACCAGUGUAGCGGUGGAAUGCGUAGAUACUGGUAGGAACACCCAUUGCGAAGGCGGCUCGCUGGACAACACGUGACGCUGAGGCGCGAAAGUGUGGGGAGCAAACC